rnacentral:rRNA from 1 species
ACUCUAAGCGGUGGAUCACUCGGCUCAUGGGUCGAUGAAGAACGCAGCAAACUGUGCGUCAUCGUGUGAACUGCAGGACACAUGAACAUCGACAUUUUGAACGCAUAUCGCAGUCCAUGCUGUUAUGUACUUUAAUUAAUUUUAUAGUGCUGCUUGGACUACAUAUGGUUGAGGGUUGUAAGACUAUGCUAAUUAAGUUGCUUAUAAAUUUUUAUAAGCAUAUGGUAUAUUAUUGGAUAAAUAUAAUAAUUUUUAUUCAUAAUAUUAAAAAAUAAAUGAAAAACAUUAUCUCACAUUUGAAUGUGAAAAACGAAGAGAAAUAUUUUCUUUUUCAAUCAAAUAAUACUGAGAAAUGUCUAGCAUAAAAAAUUGAAAUAUUUUUCAUCUAGAAUUGUCUCUUAUUAAUGAUUCGGAAAUAGAAAAAUCUUGGUUAUGUUAUUAUUCUUCGUUGGUUCGUUAAAAAUGGAUAAAUAAAAACUUUGCAUACAAGAAUUAAUAAAAAUGUUAUAACGAAUUUAAUUAAAUGUUUUAUCAUUAUAUAUAAAGAAUUUAUGGCAAGAUAAAGUUAUAUACAACCUCAACUCAUAUGGGACUACCCCCUGAAUUUAAGCAUAUUAAUUAGGGGAGGAAAAGAAACUAACAAGGAUUUUCUUAGUAGCGGCGAGCGAAAAGAAAACAGUUCAGCACUAAGUCACUUUGUCUAUAUGGCAAAUGUGAGAUGCAGUGUAUGGAGCGUCAAUAUUCUAGUAUGAGAAAUUAACGAUUUAAGUCCUUCUUAAAUGAGGCCAUUUACCCAUAGAGGGUGCCAGGCCCGUAUAACGUUAAUGAUUACUAGAUGAUGUUUCCAAAGAGUCGUGUUGCUUGAUAGUGCAGCACUAAGUGGGUGGUAAACUCCAUCUAAAACUAAAUAUAACCAUGAGACCGAUAGUAAACAAGUACCGUGAGGGAAAGUUGAAAAGAACUCUGAAUAGAGAGUUAAACAGUACGUGAAACUGCUUAGAGGUUAAGCCCGAUGAACCUGAAUAUCCGUUAUGGAAAAUUCAUCAUUAAAAUUGUAAUAUUUAAAUAAUAUUAUGAGAAUAGUGUGCAUUUUUUCCAUAUAAGGACAUUGUAAUCUAUUAGCAUAUACCAAAUUUAUCAUAAAAUAUAACUUAUAGUUUAUUCCAAUUAAAUUGCUUGCAUUUUAACACAGAAUAAAUGUUAUUAAUUUGAUAAAGUGCUGAUAGAUUUAUAUGAUUACAGUGCGUUAAUUUUUCGGAAUUAUAUAAUGGCAUAAUUAUCAUUGAUUUUUGUGUUUAUUAUAUGCACUUGUAUGAUUAACAAUGCGAAAGAUUCAGGAUACCUUCGGGACCCGUCUUGAAACACGGACCAAGGAGUCUAACAUAUGUGCAAGUUAUUGGGAUAUAAACCUAAUAGCGUAAUUAACUUGACUAAUAAUGGGAUUAGUUUUUUAGCUAUUUAUAGCUAAUUAACACAAUCCCGGGGCGUUCUAUAUAGUUAUGUAUAAUGUAUAUUUAUAUUAUUUAUGCCUCUAACUGGAACGUACCUUGAGCAUAUAUGCUGUGACCCGAAAGAUGGUGAACUAUACUUGAUCAGGUUGAAGUCAGGGGAAACCCUGAUGGAAGACCGAAACAGUUCUGACGUGCAAAUCGAUUGUCAGAAUUGAGUAUAGGGGCGAAAGACCAAUCGAACCAUCUAGUAGCUGGUUCCUUCCGAAGUUUCCCUCAGGAUAGCUGGUGCAUUUUAAUAUUAUAUAAAAUAAUCUUAUCUGGUAAAGCGAAUGAUUAGAGGCCUUAGGGUCGAAACGAUCUUAACCUAUUCUCAAACUUUAAAUGGGUAAGAACCUUAACUUUCUUGAUAUGAAGUUCAAGGUUAUGAUAUAAUGUGCCCAGUGGGCCACUUUUGGUAAGCAGAACUGGCGCUGUGGGAUGAACCAAACGUAAUGUUACGGUGCCCAAAUUAACAACUCAUGCAGAUACCAUGAAAGGCGUUGGUUGCUUAAAACAGCAGGACGGUGAUCAUGGAAGUCGAAAUCCGCUAAGGAGUGUGUAACAACUCACCUGCCGAAGCAACUAGCCCUUAAAAUGGAUGGCGCUUAAGUUGUAUACCUAUACAUUACCGCUAAAGUAGAUGAUUUAUAUUACUUGUGAUAUAAAUUUUGAAACUUUAGUGAGUAGGAAGGUACAAUGGUAUGCGUAGAAGUGUUUGGCGUAAGCCCUGCAUGGAGCUGCCAUUGGUACAGAUCUUGGUGGUAGUAGCAAAUAAUCGAAUGAGACCUUGGAGGACUGAAGUGGAGAAGGGUUUCGUGUGAACAGUGGUUGAUCACGAGUUAGUCGGUCCUAAGUUCAAGGCGAAAGCCGAAAAUUUUCAAGUAAAACAAAAAUGCCUAACUAUAUAAACAAAGCGAAUUAUAAUACACUUGAAUAAUUUGAACGAAAGGGAAUACGGUUCCAAUUCCGUAACCUGUUGAGUAUCCGUUUGUUAUUAAAUAUGGGCCUCGUGCUCAUCCUGGCAACAGGAACGACCAUAAAGAAGCCGUCGAGAGAUAUCGGAAGAGUUUUCUUUUCUGUUUUAUAGCCGUACUACCAUGGAAGUCUUUCGCAGAGAGAUAUGGUAGAUGGGCUAGAAGAGCAUGACAUAUACUGUUGUGUCGAUAUUUUCUCCUCGGACCUUGAAAAUUUAUGGUGGGGACACGCAAACUUCUCAACAGGCCGUACCAAUAUCCGCAGCUGUCUCCAAGGUGAAGAGUCUCUAGUCGAUAGAAUAAUGUAGGUAAGGAAGUCGGCAAAUUAGAUCCGUAACUUCGGGAUAAAGGAUUGGCUCUGAAGAUUGAGAUAGUCCGGCUUGAUUGGGAAACAAUAACAUGGUUUAUGUGCUCGUUCUGGGUAAAUAGAGUUUCUAGCAUUUAUGUUAGUUACUUGUUCCCCGGAUAGUUUAUUACGUAGCCAAUUGUGGAACUUUCUUGCUAAAAUUUUUAAGAAUACUAUUUGGGU